rnacentral:lncRNA from 1 species
AUUUUUUUGCUUAUAAUUAGCUUACAGAAAAGUAAAACUUUUUAAGCAGUAAUCAAAGAUGGGUUCAACUAAAACUACUCAUUUUCUCAUUUUGUGCACAUUUUUGGUUUCAAUAUCUUUUCAACAAGCAAAUGCUAUAAGGGCUUUGGGCAUGGAGAAAUGGCUUAGGGAAGAAAUUUCAUUAUUCGCUUCUCUUCCCAGGGGUCCAGUGCCACCAUCUGGUGGUUCUCCUUGCACUUACAUUCCUGGGCAUCCAGGCUCGAGCACCGGCUCAUGCCCGUUGAAUGAAAAGCACUUUGCCGGUAGUGGUGCCGCCCAUUCGCCACCAGCUUCUCCGAGGAGUGUCAUAAACUUUGGCAGCACUUCGUCGACGACAACAAACCAUGAAACUGGGAAGAAUGAUUCAACUUCUUGAGAUUAUUUAUCUAUUUUGAUUUUUCCAUUUUUUUAUUCGUUCUUACUUGGACAACAACCAUUACAUAUACGUAAUUCAUGUAAUAUUGAAUUCCAGUAUAAAAUACUGCAUUAAUCAUUCGACGUUUAGCAUGUUUGGCUAAGUUUAAACAGUUCAAUCAUAAAUAAAUAAGUGAAUUGUAAAAUAAUUAAUUCUUUUCUUGAUCAAGUUAGAAUUAGUAUAUUAUUUUUGGAAUAAAUUAAUAGUUGC